AACAGAAGGCAUAUAUACAUAUGUAUUUCUGACCAGUUCUACUUUAUUAUUAGCUUAGCUUCUUCUUCCCAAGUGUACAAAUCUUGCAUACUUCAUUUAGCCCGAGUCAGUGAAUCCCCGGCUACAACAUUUGUAGAAAUUUACUUCAUAUUCGUAAAUCUGAGUGAGAUGCACUCUCGCCUUCAUGUCAAAUUUCAGCAAUUUCUAAUCAAUUUCAAAAACCAGUGUGGAUCACAAUGUACUCUCUGGUGAAACUAGAUCAAACACUGCGCUGCCCAUCUUCGAACUUAUCCCAAGCCUUGGAGAUGUUCGUAUUUAUUUUAAGACUAACUUAGUCAAAAUCAGUUCAGUGGUUCGUCCACUACUAGCUUGUCACAGAAGGACAGACCAGCAGACAGACAUGGCGAUCCCAUCAGGCCUGACUCGGACUAAAAAAAUGAAAGGAAAUAAGUAAGCGAUCAACAUCGAAAGGCUUGAGAACCCAUCAACAACAAGACCAAUUUGGAAUUUCCUUUCUCCACGCACGAAAACAUGCCGCAAAAUUAGAAUUGAGAAGAGAAAGCAGAAAAUUCGUCUACAGCCCCGAAAUUCUCAUGACUUUGACUUUAACUCAUCACCAUUUACAUUCACACAGUCAGUCUGUCUGCUUGUCAAACUAAACAGACCAAUGAGAAAAUUGAGAAAGUGUGUGUAUAUGUUAUUGUAAGGUACUUACGACUGACUUACUGACAGGUAGUCACUUAAAUAGGAUUAAUCAGAUGAGCCAGAAAUGAGCUGAAUCACGAUAGUUUUCUCCAUUCUCAAUAAACAUUUGAUCUCAUCCCGUUACAA